rnacentral:lncRNA from 1 species
CGUACAUUUAGGUUGAGCGCUGGUAACUUUGCAUAUUAAUUGCCUAAAAUGAAACCCAAAUUUUGGUUGAAUUCUGAGAGCUUAUUUUCCUGUUUUCUAAUUGGUGAUGUAUUGGUGCAGAUAUUGUUUGUAUUAAAAGAGAAACAAAAUAGAAAUGCCUUGUGUUUAUGGGCAAUAUCCCAAUUCUACCUUUGGGAAGUCCACUACCUAUCCAAGUUCACUCUUCACGGCUCAGUUUCUAGCAGUGCUUCAAAAUAGCGGAAUAAGUACUACUAAUAUCAAGUUCUCAACUCGUAUAAUAGUGUCUAGAGCAGCAUUGAAUUUGAAGGACUUUAAUGUGGAUGUCGAGCUAGGCAAUGACAAGUAAUAGUAGUGGUGCUGGCAUUUUGAAUGGGAAGGCUACCGAAAAGGUCAGAGACUACAGCUAAAGAAUGCUGGUUGUUAAGCGUUCGAGAGGAUAAGAGCGCAAAUAUGAACAUCUUCGUAUCUAUCUUGCUUUGGCAAAUCAUUCUCCAUUUCUGCUAUCAUUAAAAUUUUGUUUGAUUGCAAUUUUACAAUGCAAUAAGUGAAUGAGCAUUUUGCAGUUUGUUCUAAUUUUGUCCAACUAUAUAUUGAUUUUAAGUUUGUUUUAUUCUGUGCUACUGAAUAUUUAGUUGAUGGAUAAUGUUUGGUAGAUUAGUGAUCUAUUCCCAGAAUCUGCGUUAUUAGAUUGAAUAAAAUAUUUUUUUUUUCCAAUUAAUAGGAAAUUUGCAAUGUUGAGAAUUCAGGAGUCCAAUUAAGUCUACUUUAUGUAGUCAUAUAGUCUACAGAUACUCUUAAGGC